rnacentral:rRNA from 1 species
AUGACGUGGCGGGGCUGCCCCACUCCCCACACCACCAAUCCACCAUGCAUCUCACGUUCCCACCCCACGAGCACACCUCCAUCGAUCUAUUCUCUCCUCCUCACAAACGCAGCAGCAACCCUUAAAAAAAACGCAGCAGCAGAGCAACAGCCUCGCCGGAUUCUGUCUCUCCGCCCCUUGCCAGAAUCCGCCGUGGCCGCCCCUCGCCGGACCCCCACCGCAGUCGCCCCUCGCCGGACACCACGGCAGCCGAGCUUCCCCAGCCUCCUCCUGCUCUCCGCCCCUCGCCUGACUUCGCCACGGCCGCCCCCUCGCAGUACUCUGCCCCUCGCCCGACUCCGCCGUGGCUGCCCCUCGCCGGACCCCUCUGCGGUCGCCCGCCGCCGGACCCUGCGGCAGUCGAGCUCCCCAGCCUCCUCCUCCUCGCCGCCCCCUCAUCGGACUCCGCCAUGGCCGCCCCCUGCCGGACUCCGCCACGCCCGAGCCUCCUCCUCUCUACCGCGAGCGCGAAAGCCCCAGGCUCCUCCUCUCCAACCCUCGCCGGGCUCCGCCACGGCCGCCCCUCGCCGGACAUCGCCGGACCCUGCCGCACCCGAGCAUCCAGCCUCCUCUCUGCAAGAACGACCUCAGGCCGCCGGACGUGCUCACCAUAGGACCGCCGGCCGCCAUCUUGCCGCUGGACACACUCACCUGCAGCCUGAACGACCACGUCACUGCAGCACCGAGGAGUACAACCGGAAGCCAAGAUCGGCUGAUAUGAAAUUCUACCUCCUUUCAAGAUACUGCCAUGAUUUUGGUGAACUGGAGAUUGGUUGUUUUGGGGCAUGUGGCAAUGGUGGAAAGCUGCAGAGGACACAUCCUGAAUUGGUGUUCCUUGCAAUGCCCUGUUCAGGAGUAGCGGCGCAGAAGACGACGACGUGGCAGAGGAUGGAUUGGAUUGUCCCUGUCGGCGCGGCGGCAGCUGGGUUGUGUGCGCAGCUGGCAUCAAGGAGGAAGAACCGCCGCUCACGACCUCGCACUACGACGGCGCAUCUUCUACUAUCGCACCGGUGGAGUCCUAGAUCUGGUCCGCUUCUAAAUUUGAGAAACAUGGUUGUUGCAAAUGGCAACGUUGACAUGGAGGAAGGAACCCUUGAAAUUGGGAUCGUUCGUAAGCAAAAGUUUGGUGCUGCUUCAUUGGAUUUCAAUGAGGAUGUGCAUUUCUACGUCGGAUUGCUGUAUUUUUUCUCAAACCCUGUUGGACCUGUAUCAUUUGUGUUAACAUCAAAGAAGUGGUCAGGGGUCUGGUCAUGGUUUUCCUAUCUGUUGGUGGUGAUUCUAGCACAGACAACAAGCGAACAACGACAUCAGGUUGUCGGCAGCAGUGACAUCAACGAAUGGAGGGUACGCCUGCGGCAACUCCGGCGGGAUGCUAGAGCUCGUGGCGACGUCUACGACGGUGUGCCUGGGCACCAUGCAGGAUGGAUCUGGCACCGCGACCGAGAUGACAAGGCAGAGGACCAGCUGAGGGGGGCUCGACAAGGCGGCGCUGUCAGCCAUGCCGGUGUUCAGAUUCAAGACGGGGCCGUGAUGGGUUGUUUCUUGAUAAAAUUGCAUUUCUGCUGCUUUGAUCUGUUGAAAAUGUCAGUCAAAGCACAUUGCUUAGUAAAAAAAGAUCUUGGAAGGGGCGUGUCCUACCUGGCACCGCCGAGCUUCCGCUCAGGCGACACGCCAAGGGCACGCCCCCCUAACGAUCUGGAAGAAGAGGAGGGAGGGAGGACCGUAGGACGGCCAACAACAACAGAGAAAGGCCCAGUCGACUAUGAGAAGUCGUCACCACCCCUAAUGGCGGAUUCAGGCCCCAGGCAGCCGGGUCGGCGGCCUGGGGCCCUGCCUGGGGUCUGGCCCAUUGCUGGGUCCACCACUGACCGCCCGUACCACGCUGCACGGCCGAAGAGCGCAGUGCCGUUCCUGGACGCGCGGGUGGAGUAUCUCGUACAACCUCAGCUAGCUUCCUCAUCCUGGUCGCCGGAGAACCACCUCCUCACCAAGCCCACCCGCAUCCGAGCUCCAAGCAAAAUAGCCCGCGACGGAGGCGAUGAGAACGACGACGACGUCUCACCCUGGCGGGACGCCUCGCGGGUGCGCAGUGUCGAAGCCCUGAGAGCCAUCUGCAGGAAGUACUCCAUCCCCGACGGCUUCGCCCCGCUCCUCGCCGGCGACCGGUCGGCGCGCGCGCUGCCGCCGACAGGGUCCGUCUGCGUGUUCGUCGACGCGCUGGAGGCCGGGAUGCGCCUGCCCCUCCACCCCUUCUUCUGCGUGGUGCUCGACCACUUCGGGAUCUUCCCGGCCCAGCUCGCCCCCAACGGCUGGCGCGCCCUGGCGGGCUUCAUCGUGCUCUCCCACUUCGCUGGCGCGCCGCCGUCGCUGCCGGUGUUCCGGCACUUCUUCUCGCUGGUCGCGUUCCCCCAUAGGCUCUACUCUCUCCGCGGCAAAGACGCCACCGGCGCCGGUUUGCUCUUCCGUCCGACGAAGGCCAAGAACGCGGGGUGGAAGGAGGAGUUCUUCUUCAUGUCAUCAUCGUCGGCGCCGUGCCCGUGCCCUGUGCAGUGGGGGAAGCCAUUCAGGUCCGCCACGUCUGAUCCGUCGCUCACCGGCCCGGAGAAGGCCGUGGCGGCGAGCCUGCUGCGCGCUCGCGGUGGUUCCCCGAUCGAUCUCACGGUGUAUCUCCGCGACAGCAACUUGGCCGCGGCCAAGAUAAUCGGGGCACUGGCGGCGCACGCGCCAGCGGAGGAGUCCACGGUGAAGAGCGAGCCGGACUGCGAUGCGCCGUCGUCGUCCCGAAAAGAGAAGAAGCGGAAGCGGCCGGAGCACCAUGCAAACGGCGAGAGCUCAGCGUCGGGAUAUCUCUCUUUCCCGCCGGGCUUCUCCCCGCAUCUCCGGAAGGCACGGAACACCACCACGGCCAAACACGGGAAGCAAUGGCAUGGCUGCGACGACGGGGACACGAGCGGCUGGAAGGCGGCGAGGCAGCUGCUGCAGGGCAUCGUCACGCCGGAGCGGCAGCGCGAGCACGCGGCGUCCAGGCCGGCCGACGUCAUCGCCUCGAGCUACGUGUCGCUGCUCCAGACGGCGAACGAGGUGGCGUUCUCGCUGGGCUACGCUCUGGAGCUCGAAGAGAGGGUGAGGAACGCCGACGAGCUGCGAGCGGAGCUGCGCAAGGCGAAGGCCGAGCUCGCCAAGACCAAGGCCGCGGCAGCGGGGGCGGCGGCGCGGGAGUCCCGGGGACCCAGGGCGCGCAGAUGA